UACAGAGGUCUCAAGCGUUGUUCGGAAUCACUGGGCGUAAAGGGUGCGUAGGCGGCACGGUAAGUCAGAGGUGAAAUCCCGGGGCUCAACCUCGGGUCUGCAGUCGAUACGAGCAAACUAGAGUGUUGCAGGGGAGACUGGAAUUCCUGGUGUAGCGGUGAAAUGCGUAGAUAUCUGGAGGAACACCGGUGGCGAAGGCGGCAUCCUGGACCAACACUGACACUGAGGAGCGAAAGCCAGGGGAGCAAACGGG
rnacentral:rRNA from 1 species